rnacentral:tRNA from 1 species
UUCCCUGGCAGUCCAGUGCUUAGGACUCAGCACUUUAACUGCCGUGGUCCAGGUUCAAUCCCUGGUAUGGAAC